rnacentral:lncRNA from 1 species
CCGAGGUUAGAAUGAAGAGAUGAAACAAGGUUAGAAUGUUCUAACAGAAGCCCCUCCAUGAAGAGAUGAAACAAGGUUAGAAUGUUCUAACAGAAGCCCCUCCAUGAAGAGACGAAAUGGUCAAACGUCCAGGACUCUUCGAGAAGACAGGGAAAGGGGAUCAUGAGUCACCCAGACAUGAGCCAUGCUUGGGAAGCUGUUACUGCCCCUAUGGCUACAGACACAGUGGAAGUAGUACCUCCUACAGUUAGAAUGUACCCUGUGAUGAACAGCAGAGCAUGUGAAGGCUGGAAACAGAGCUCAGAGAAAAUCAACAGCUGCCCCUCGCAAGAGCAACGUACGCUGACUUCUUCACUGUGGGAUUCAUGCCAUCUGGAAGAACAACUGGGCAUAUAUUUGGUGAAUGAAUGAAUGAAAUAUAACAAAACUGAUGUUUUAUUGCUGAGAAAAUUGAAGUUCCUGCGGGCUUCCCAAUUUACUCAGGUGGUUAACGGAAGAACUAGGACUGAAAUUUAGGCUCUCUACUUCAUAUUUCAACACAGCAAUUGCCUCUGACUUCUGUAAAUUGAAUCAUAUUUUAAAUCCAUAUGAGAACUUUCUUUCCGAAGACAUUCUGUGCUGCACUUUUUGCAAAACUGAAAUCCUUUAUCACCUUCGUUAGGUAGAUUUUUCAAGUUUCAGUUUCUCUUCAAGCUUUCUGGACUAUUUCUUUAGCUAGGAGGUUUUACAUAACAACUCUAUUUUAAAAGAACAGAGCAUUUCAAAAGGAUUCUCAUUUUGGUAAAAGAGUCAGCAUAAUGCGAAAGAAAGAGCAUGGUUUCUGUGAACAGAUAGUACUACAUUCUGAUCUAGGAUUCGCAACUAAUAGCAAAUUACACAUUAGACAAAACGCUUAACUUUUCUGGUCCUUGAUUCCUUAUUCUGUGAACUGGGGAUAAUAACGUCUUCUCUCAUCAUGCCACAGAACUGUAAGAAUGAAAUUAGAUGAUGC